UUUUUUUUUUUUUUUUGAGACAAGGUCUCAAUAUGUAGUUGAGACUGACCCAUAACUCACUAUGAAGCCCAGGUUGGUCUCAAAUUCACAGCGAUCCUCCUGCCUCAGCCUCCCGAGUGCUGUGAUCACAGGCGUGUGCCACCACACCUGGCUCUUUCUUUCUUUUGAGAUAUACUCUUGCUAAUGUUGCUGGGUUGACUUUGAACUCCUGGGUUCAAGCCAUCUCUACUUCAAUCUCCUGAGUAGCUGGGACUACCGGGCUAUACCAUUAUGACUUCUCCUCCUUCUCCUUCUCCUUUUUCUUCUUUCUCGUGGUGCUGGAAAUCAAACUCAGGGCCUCAUGCAUGCUAGGCAAGCCCUCUAUCACUGCGCUAAUGUCGGGAGCAAUUCCACAUGAUUUUAAGGAAAAAAAAUAAUUUCAUAAUUAAAUUAGGGCCUAGUUUUCCUGCCUACAGGCCAGCUACGAUAUAACUCCAUUCUCUCCUGUGGUCACAGCUAGACCUCCACGGUCCAGGGAUGCUGCAAUUCUCCAAGGCAGGACUACACCAGCUGGAGACAUCCUGGGAGGAAUCAAAUCUUCAUCUGCGCAGUUCCUCACUCUUCUAGGAUUAUUACGCGCUGCCACUCUCUGAGUCAUCCGCUACUUUGUUUCUCCUGAUGUUGUGAAUGAAGUGCCUACGGACCUAGGUUUGUACAGCCCAGGGAUGCUCUCUAAGAAGCAGCCCAGAUGAUAACCCUUGUGGUGUUUGGGAAGCACUGUGGAUGCACAUUGCCCACUCGGGGCCGGUCUGUCACAACCCGGAAGAGGAGCCACUUGCGUUACUGAGGGCCAUGGCUAAUAACAUCCGGAAUGAGCUGGAUAAGGCCACUCAGCACAAAGCAGAUGUCCUCAAGCCCUCAGGAGGAGAUGGAACCUGUCCUUCACAGCACUGAGGCCAAGCCACAGCAAAAUCAAUGCCAGAGAAGUCAGUCAACAAAGGAUGUCGUUGGACUUCCAAGAAGCUUCUGAAAAAGUCUAAACUGAGCUCUGGCAAAACUUUGCCAAGGGACUUCUGGGACUUGGUUCCAGGUAAUUAUUUAUUUAGUGAAAGAUGAAUUCUAUUAUGCAUAAAGAUAGGGCCGUCUAAGUACUUAGUGUGCAUUAUUUUAUUUCUUUUUUUCAUUCAUUAAUUUUAAUGGCACAUUUCAUUUUAGGUAUACAACACGAUGAUAUUCAUCAUCGGGAAUUUGUACCUUUAGAUGAUGUAUCUUAGGUGCUUUUUUUUUUUUUUUUUUUUUUUUUUUUUGG
rnacentral:lncRNA from 1 species